rnacentral:rRNA from 1 species
UGGGGAAUAUUGGACAAUGGGCGAAAGCCUGAUCCAGCAAUGCCGCGUGCGGGAUGAAGGCCUUCGGGUUGUAAACUGCUUUUGUACGGAACGAAAAAGCUUCUCCUAAUACGAGAGGCCCAUGACGGUACCGUAAGAAUAAGCACCGGCUAACUACGUGGCAGCAGCCGCGGUAAUACGUAGGGUGCGAGCGUUAAUCGGAAUUACUGGGCGUAAAGCGUGCGCAGGCGGUUAUGUAAGACAGAUGUGAAAUCCCCGGGCUCAACCUGGGAACUGCAUUUGUGACUGCAUGGCUAGAGUACGGUAGAGGGGGAUGGAAUUCCGCGUGUAGCAGUGAAAUGCGUAGAUAUGCGGAGGAACACCGAUGGCGAAGGCAAUCCCCUGGACCUGUACUGACGCUCAUGAACGAAAGCGUGGGGAGCAAACA